GGAUCAGACUUUGAUUAUGGCUCAGGAUGAACGCUAGCUACAGGCUUAACACAUGCAAGUCGAGGGGAAACGACAUCGAAAGCUUGCUUUUGAUGGGCGUCGACCGGCGCACGGGUGAGUAACGCGUAUCCAACCUGCCCACCACUUGGGGAUAACCUUGCGAAAGUAAGACUAAUACCCAAUGAUAUCUCUAGAAGACAUCUGAAAGAGAUUAAAGAUUUAUCGGCGAUGGAUGGGGAUGCGUCUGAUUAGCUUGUUGGCGGGGUAACGGCCCACCAAGGCAACGAUCAGUAGGGGUUCUGAGAGGAAGGUCCCCCACAUUGGAACUGAGACACGGUCCAAACUCCUACGGGAGGCAGCAGUGAGGAAUAUUGGUCAAUGGACGAGAGUCUGAACCAGCCAAGUAGCGUGCAGGAUGACGGCCCUAUGGGUUGUAAACUGCUUUUAUAAGGGAAUAAAGUGAGUCUCGUGAGACUUUUUGCAUGUACCUUAUGAAUAAGGACCGGCUAAUUCCGUGCCAGCAGCCGCGGUAAUACGGAAGGUCCGGGCGUUAUCCGGAUUUAUUGGGUUUAAAGGGAGCGUAGGCCGGAGAUUAAGCGUGUUGUGAAAUGUAGACGCUCAACGUCUGCACUGCAGCGCGAACUGGUUUCCUUGAGUACGCACAAAGUGGGCGGAAUUCGUGGUGUAGCGGUGAAAUGCUUAGAUAUCACGAAGAACUCCGAUUGCGAAGGCAGCUCACUGGAGCGCAACUGACGCUGAAGCUCGAAAGUGCGGGUAUCGAACAGGAUUAGAUACCCUGGUAGUCCGCACGGUAAACGAUGGAUGCCCGCUGUUGGUCUGAAUAGGUCAGCGGCCAAGCGAAAGCAUUAAGCAUCCCACCUGGGGAGUACGCCGGCAACGGUGCAACUCAAAGGAAU
rnacentral:rRNA from 1 species